AGUGAACGCUGGCGGUAGGCCUAACACAUGCAAGUCGAACGGCAGCACAGGAGAGCUUGCUCUCUGGGUGGCGAGUGGCGGACGGGUGAGGAAUACAUCGGAAUCUACCUAGUCGUGGGGGAUAACGUAGGGAAACUUACGCUAAUACCGCAUACGACCUUCGGGUGAAAGUGGGGGACCUUCGGGCCUCACGCGAUUAGAUGAGCCGAUGUCGGAUUAGCUAGUUGGAGGGGUAAUGGCCCACCAAGGCGACGAUCCGUAGCUGGUCUGAGAGGAUGAUCAGCCACACUGGAACUGAGACACGGUCCAGACUCCUACGGGAGGCAGCAGUGGGGAAUAUUGGACAAUGGGCGCAAGCCUGAUCCAGCCAUACCGCGUGGGUGAAGAAGGCCUUCGGGUUGUAAAGCCCUUUUGUUGGGAAAGAAAUCCUAUUGAUUAAUACUCGGUGGGGAUGACGGUACCCAAAGAAUAAGCACCGGCUAACUUCGUGC
rnacentral:rRNA from 1 species